rnacentral:misc_RNA from 1 species
UGGUCUGAUAGAUAACCCCAUAGAGCUGUUUAUGAAAGAUAUCUGGAAGCUUCCAAAAUAUGUUGUCACUGCCACUCUACAGUGCGCUGGUAACAGGAGGACUGCCAUGAGCAAUGUCAAAAAAGUAAGAGGAGUUGGCUGGGAUGUUUCUGCUAUAGGAAAUGCUGUCUGGGGUGGUGCCAAAUUGGCAGAUGUUCUUGAACUUGUUGGGAUAUCCAAGUUCACGGGUACCACAAACUCAGGUGGAAAACAUGUUGAAUUUAUAAGCAUUGAUAAGUGUAAGGAGGAGAAUGGUGGCCCUUACAAGGCAUCAAUUCCACUCAGUCAGGCCACAAACCCUGAGGCUGAUGUUUUACUUGCUUAUGAGAUGAAUGGGGAGCCUCUAAACAGGGAUCAUGGUUAUCCAUUGCGAGUGGUUGUCCCAGGUGUUAUAGGUGCACGUUCUGUCAAAUGGUUGGAUUCCAUUAACAUAAUUGCAGAAGAAUGUCAGGGCUUCUUUAUGCAAAAGGACUACAAAAUGUUUGCCCCAUCAGUGAAUUGGGAUAACAUCAAUUGGUCUACAAGGAAGCCACAAAUGGAUUUCCCUGUACAGGUAUAUGCUUGAUACUGCUCCAAAGAAUUUUCAUUUUUUCUUUGGAUUAAAAGAAGAUUUUUGACAGAAAAUUAAAAAAAAAAAACUAUGUAGAUGGUAAAUUGUCCUCUUCUCUAUGAAUACAAGUUAUUUGGAAAUAACUGAAACGAUGAAGUGACACCCUAUAAUCAAAUUCAGUGUAAGGUAAAGGCACUCACUUAGAAACCUCUGAAGCAGACCCAUAAUCCAAAAGGGGUUCUUUUGUCUAACCAACAAUAACUCCAAAGGCAAAAUGAUUUUAAAGAAUUGACCAUCUCUCCAACCAAAUACGCCUAUCAGUUGCCAACAGCAUGACACUGUUGUUCUAAGCCUCUUUCCAACUCCUAAAAGCAGAAGAUUUAUACGGACUUUCCUUUAUGUCUUUGGAAAUACUCAACUUGCUUCAAAUUUAUCAAAUAGCUGAUGCGAAUAUAAACAGAAGCAUUGCAAUAAAGAGAAAGACUUCACUCCCUUUUUACCAGUUAGCAUUAUGUCAAUAGCUGAUAUGCGUUAUCAAGUCUUCAUAUCUGCAACAAGUCAGUAACAAUUAUUUGGAGUGCUUCACAGAAUAUUUGUUACUUAUUAUAUUGUAUAUGUGAUAUAGACGAAUCUUUUAGGGCCAAAAAUGAAAAUUGAAUGACCCUUGGUGUUGUUUUAUUUUAUCAAUUCGAUCUGAACUGCAGUGUAUGGGAAAAAAAGAAGGUGCGCUAAUUUUUAUGUGCAUUUAAUUUUCCUUUAUAGCACAAUCAGUAAUAGACACACUUAUAUAAUUAAGUAACAACUGUUUUUUUUUCCUAGACAGUAAUUAAUUAUCUCACCCUUAUUGAUUGACAGUGUGCAAUUUGUUCUUUAGAGGAUGUGGCUGCAGUGAAGCCUGGAAAGGUGAAAGUCAGUGGAUAUGCGGCAUCAGGAGGUGGCCGUGGAAUUGAGAGAAUAGAUGUGUCUGUUGAUGGUGGCAAAACCUGGGUGGAAGCUUUUAGACAUCAGAAGACUGGUGUCCCUUAUAUCGCAGAUGAUAUGAACAGUGACAAAUGGGCAUGGGUACUUUUUGAGGUCAUAGUUGAUGUGUCACGCAGCACAGAGAUUGUUGCAAAAGCAGUAUGUAUUCAUUUUAAUUCUGUUUUAAUCUUGUCUUUCCUCAAAUGCAUCAAUUGUAUUUAAUGCAUGCUUGAAAAUAUGCAUGUUUGUGCAUGACUUCUAUAAUUUUUGAAGUACCUAAAAUCACAUGCAAAUAUGUUUCUAAAAUUAAAGAUUUAGUUGUAUGAUUAUGAUGUCCUUUCUAUAUUUGGACCAAAGCCAUGGUUUGCAAAGCCCUGCUCCAGUCUGACCUACUAGCUAAAAGCUUGAGAGCAUCUAACCAGGGUUUAGCCCAUUAAAUACCUUGGAAUUUCAUGCAUCUCGUUUUCGUUAAUUUACCUAUAAAUUUGCAAUACAUGAGGUUCCCUCUUCCAUCAUGGACAGGUGGAUUCAGCAGCAAAUGUCCAACCAGAAAAUGUACUAGAGAUUUGGAAUUUGAGAGGGAUACUUAACACUUCGUGGCAUCGUGUUAAAGUCCAAGUUGGUCACUCAAACAUGUAGACCAUGUUUGGGUUUGGUUUUCCAUAUCCAUAUGGUACUAGAAUAACAUUCCUAGUGCUUUGACAGUGCUGUUUACUAAGUUGCUUAAGCUUUUAUUUUUCAUAUGUACAGACAUGUUACCUUUUAGCAUCAGUGUGACUACCGCUCUUGACUUGUGAUAAUCAGUGUUGAUCAAAAUAACUUGUGGUAGGGGGAGCCUAGAAAAGCAGUCUCUCCAUUGUUUGACAAUGAACUAUGAUGUUAAAUUUUGUAAAAUAAUUACUGCUUGGUUAAUCGUUUUUGUUUUUUAAGGCACGGGGAUAUUGUAAUUUAAUUGGUAUCUAUUAUUAAACUUAGGAACAAUUAGAUUUAGUUAGUUUGCAUCGACCGCGUUUUGGCCAAUAAUAAGAAUUGUCGGCCACUUCGAGGUAAAUAAUAUUAUGACUGUUAGUUUAGCAUUAUUCUACAGAGGAACUAUUUGGGUUCCAGGAAAUUUUAUAGUAUUGGAGUAAUGUUGUGAACACAGAGGAACUUGGAGAGAAGGAUAAUGUAAUGAAUUGAUGGAAUGGAAGCCACUCUUUGGACCACUCGAGGUUGUAAAUGGGUGAUAAUCCAUCCACUUUUACCUGUUUAAGUCAAAGGUUCGAUCCUCCUGGGAGGGAAAUGCUCUUCUUGAGGACUCGGAUUAAGGAUCAUCAGUCCUCAGGCUCUGUAUAAAUUGAAUACUGAAUUUGUACCAUGGAUGGCAGGAUGAGGUUUGAGAUUAAAUCUAGAUGACAGUGUUUGACCGCAAUCUAAAUCUGCAGAAGCAAUGACUAUGCAUGGGGACUGUCCCUUUCACAGUAAAAUAAAAAGAAAAAGAAAAGUAGGUCCAACUUGAAGAACUUUGGCUGGAAAUGGCAAACAAGAAGUCAUUAGUCACAUCAGGUUGGUUACUGAUGAGUCGGAUGUGUGUCAUCUUCAUCUUCCAGGUUCUGGACCUCUGCUUGUUUAGGGGGUUGCAGGUCUUUAUUUUUUAAAUUUUUUACUUUUGAUCCAAUUCUCAAUUUCUUUACUUGUAUUCUAUCAAUAUGAUGUUGUCAGGCCAAUCCUUGACUGUGCAUGUAAGUAGGGGUGUGAACUAGUUGAAAGAUAGCAAACACGUGUUGGAAAGAUUGAUCAUGUAAUCACAGUUGGAGCAAUUAAUAAUGUCCAAUCAUUCUUUUCUGCUGCAAGUUGUAAGCAUUCAGAAGCAAGACAAGUCAACUCUGUCCCUUUCUUUUAAGAGUACUUUUCCUUUCCCAUACUUGUCUGCAUCUGCCAUAGCAUUGCCCAUGUGGCAGCAGACAUUGAUCAAUAUUAGAACCUGCAACCAUGUCCACAUUUGAAAUAAUUAUUAUA